GACGAACGCUGGCGGCGUGCUUAACACAUGCAAGUCGAACGGUAAGGCCCUUCGGGGUACACGAGUGGCGAACGGGUGAGUAACACGUGGGUGAUCUGCCCUGCACUUCGGGAUAAGCCUGGGAAACUGGGUCUAAUACCGGAUAGGACUCCUGGCUUCAUGGUUGGGGGUGGAAAGCUUUUGCGGUGUGGGAUGGGCCCGCGGCCUAUCAGCUUGUUGGUGGGGUAAUGGCCUACCAAGGCGACGACGGGUAGCCGGCCUGGGAGGGUGACCGGCCACACUGGGACUGAGAUACGGCCCAGACUCCUACGGGAGGCAGCAGUGGGGAAUAUUGCACAAUGGGCGCAAGCCUGAUGCAGCGACGCCGCGUGAGGGAUGACGGCCUUCGGGUUGUAAACCUCUUUCAGUAGGGACGAAGCGCAAGUGACGGUACCUACAGAAGAAGGACCAGCCAACUACGUGCCAGCCGCCGCGGUAA
rnacentral:rRNA from 1 species